rfam:Camelus ferus unplaced genomic scaffold scaffold1558, whole genome shotgun sequence.
GGAGAUAUAGCUCAGUGGUAGGGUAUACGCCUAGCAUGCACGAGGUCCUGGGUUCAAACCCCAGUACCUCCA